rnacentral:rRNA from 1 species
CGCGUAGGCGGCCUUCUAAGUCAGACGUGAAAUCCCCUGGCUUAACCUGGGAACUGCGUCUGAUACUGGGAGGCUUGAGUAUGGGAGAGGGAUGUAGAAUUCCAGGUGUAGCGGUGAAAUGCGUAGAUAUCUGGAGGAAUACCGGUGGCGAAGGCGGCAUCCUGGACCAUUACUGACGCUGAGGCGCGAAAGCUAGGGAGCAAACG